rnacentral:lncRNA from 12 species
GAGCCUUAUAAAGAGGAGAGAACCACGACUAAAAAUGUGGACUCUACACGUUCAGGGGCUCACAUCAAUUGAUACAGGUUUCCCUCCAUCAAGGUUAAGUACAUCUUGAAGUCUCCAUGUUCAGAGGUAAGUAG